rnacentral:rRNA from 1 species
UACGUAGGGGGCGAGCGUUGUCCGGAUUUAUUGGGCGUAAAGAGCUCGUAGGCGGUUUGGCAAGUCGGAUGUGAAAACUCCAGCUCAACUUGGAGACGCCAUUCGAUACUGCGAUGACUUGAGUCCGGUAGGGGAGUGUGGAAUUCCUGGUGUAGAGGUGAAAUUCGUAGAUAUCGGGAGGAACACCGGUGGCGAAGGCGGCGAUCUGGGUAGAGUACGUGACGCUGAGGUGCGAAAGCGUGGGGAGCAAACAGG